rnacentral:rRNA from 1 species
AUCGAUGAAGAACGCAGCGAAAUGCGAUAAGUAAUGUGAAUUGCAGAAUUCAGUGAAUCAUCGAAUCUUUGAACGCACAUUGCGCCCUUUGGCAUUCCAUAGGGCAUGCCUGUUCGAGCGUCACUAACAACCCCAUCACAAACAGUGUGGUAUUGGCAGAAGUGGGUAGGGCUGGCAGUGUCGGCCCCACUCUGCUGGAAUGAAUAGGCCGGAAAUGUAGACCAUGAUAACAGACUUUCAGAGUAUCCCCCUGAUGCUAAAUUAGUUUGUAGGCUGGUCAGAAUCCAGGCUGUUGGACCCCCAUUCUGUGUAAAGCAGUAAUGUUGACCUCGGAUCAGGUAGGGAUACCCGCUGAACUUAAGCAUAUCAAUAAGCGGAG